AGACAUUCGUCGAAGAAAAAAGGAACUUAUCGAUGACAUUGAGAGGCUGAAAUAUGAAAUUGCAGAAGUGAUGACAGAGAUUGACAAUCUAACUUCUGUAGAGGAGAGCAAAACUACACAGAGGAACAAGCAAAUAGCCAUGGGGAGAAAGAAAUUCAACAUGGACCCCAAAAAGGGAAUUCAGUUUCUAAUAGAAAAUGAUCUCCUGCAAAGUUCCCCAGAAGACGUAGCCCAGUUCCUUUAUAAAGGAGAAGGACUAAAUAAGACCGUCAUCGGGGACUACCUGGGUGAAAGGGAUGAAUUUAAUAUUAAAGUUCUUCAGGCUUUUGUUGAACUCCAUGAGUUUGCUGAUCUCAACCUCGUACAAGCCUUAAGGCAGUUUCUGUGGAGCUUUCGGCUUCCUGGGGAGGCUCAGAAAAUCGACCGCAUGAUGGAGGCUUUUGCUUCACGCUACUGCCUUUGCAACCCUGGGGUCUUCCAGUCCACAGAUACCUGCUACGUGCUCUCCUUCGCCAUCAUUAUGCUCAACACCAGCCUCCACAACCACAACGUGCGGGACAAGCCCACGGCAGAGCGCUUCAUCACCAUGAACCGCGGCAUCAACGAGGGAGGGGACCUUCCGGAGGAGCUGCUGAGGAAUUUAUACGAAAGUAUUAAGAAUGAGCCAUUUAAGAUCCCGGAGGACGACGGGAAUGACCUGACCCACACAUUCUUCAACCCUGACCGGGAAGGCUGGCUCCUAAAGCUGGGAGGCCGUGUGAAGACCUGGAAGCGGCGCUGGUUCAUCCUGACGGACAACUGCCUCUACUACUUCGAGUACACAACAGACAAGGAGCCCCGGGGAAUUAUCCCGCUGGAAAACCUCAGCAUCCGAGAGGUAGAAGACCCACGGAAACCCAACUGUUUUGAGCUUUAUAAUCCAAGUCACAAAGGGCAGGUUAUCAAAGCCUGCAAGACAGAAGCUGACGGCCGCGUGGUAGAAGGGAACCAUGUGGUGUACCGGAUCUCUGCCCCGACCCCAGAGGAGAAGGAGGAGUGGAUCAAGUCCAUCAAAGCGAGUAUCAGUAGGGAUCCUUUCUAUGACAUGUUGGCAACAAGGAAAAGAAGGAUUGCCAAUAAAAAAUAAGAGCUUUCCUGGCUCAACAAGUAAAAACCAAAACCCCGCAGCAAAAGUGACUGAAGCGUCCUCCCCAUGACACCUUGGACCACACUUCCUUAGGGCGUUUUCCAGAAGGCACGAGGCCAGGAGGCAGUGGUUUCUGUGUCGUGCUUACAACUUCUCAAGUGAAGAGUGCUCUGGGGUCCGUGUCAGUGAACCAGGCUGCACACUCUGAAGCCUUCGGAGUGCCGUGGUCUGGGAUCGUCGUUGUUGGUGAGGUUCCAGAAAAUCUCCUUUCCUGCUGACCAUCACAGCCCACGUAGAUGUCCAAACACUCCCUUCUCAGUUUUCUCCACAGCAGCGCUUGGUGGAGCCAUCAGGACUGUGCACCGACGCAGGGCUCGUUUUCUAGAGGUGGGAACUUCGCUCGUGCCAGCUGUGCCACACGUCAGCCGUUCCAGAAGCCACUGUUUUAUAGCAACACAGGAAAGAAAAAGCUACCACUUUUUUAUUCAGAAUUCUUUUCUCAAAUAUAUUAUAGCUUUUAUAUGCUUUUUUAUAUUCUGAAAUUAUAAUGAAAGAUUCUUACUUUCUAACAGUAGUAUUUUUAGAAUGGCAGCUAUAAAUUUAACUUCUGGACACACGUAUAUCCUGUGCACUGAAAAUAUCUAUGCAGCGCCCAGAGGUUUGGUGAGGGAGAGGCAUUGGCACUUUGGGGGCUGUGCAACCAGCUGGUGCUGGGGCACACUUGCCAUUGUCAGGGAGGGAGAGGCGUGGGGGCCAUGGCAUGGUUUCCCCGUCUCCCGGAGGGGGGCCCGGGGUUCCUGGGGGAGAACGAGCACUUGGCGGGGAGGGGGGCAGCAGAAGUCAGGGCCCCAGGUGCGAUGACACCUGGUACUGUGCUUAAGUUUUGAGAGUUUUUUGCCCCACCAGCUUUCUCUCAAAUACUUUCCGGAAAGUAAAUCGUUAAGUAGAAAUUAUGUUUUUGGGAGAGGUUUAUACUAUAACUGCUGAAUCCCAGGAGACAGCUUUUUCCCUGGACACAGAGGCUGUAUGUUGAACCACACGAAACUGCUGCUGUGGCUGGUUUGACCUGCACAAGGCGCAGUUCCAUGUGGCUCAACCGAGUAUGGGUCAGGCUGGCUUUGGACCACAUUCUUCUCUUUAAAACCUGUCAGCAAAAUGAACGCCUCAUUUUGCUGACCUUCCAAUAAUUUGACCAAAUUUCUUAAUGGAGUUGGGACAUAUAUGUAACUAGAAAUAAGUUGUAUUCUCUAGUACUGGACCAUGUUUUCAGAGAGUUUGUCAUGAGGAGGGAGAGAGCCAGCUCUGCGGUGGAUGUGUCAUUUAAAACACAUACCUUGUCUAGACCAAACUAGUAUGGCACUGGGGUCUUCUGUAAGCAGCGUGACCCCACGUAGGCCACCCUGGAGGACCAGAAGGUGCUGCCUCCGGUGGUGGUGGGUGCACACUGUGUCCGCUGAGGGGGCUCAGCCCUGACAUGGCGGGGUCACCCAGACCUGGACUGAGGGUGCAGAGUGAUCAGGGCUCCGAGUGGUGCUUUGGACCUUCAGGAAGGGGCUGGGGGACAGAUGCAGCCUCCUUUCCUGAUGUAAGCUACGUCCACAUCCGGGACACACGUAACACAGGGGGCCUCCUGCACGUGACUGUCACUGGACAGCCUUGGCGAGGGACCUCCUGGCAAAGGCCUUCCUGUGCAAAAUGAAAGCUCAAGACAGAAAAACCUCAGAUUGUGUGCACUUGCUUCAUUUUGAGUAGCUGAAUAACUGCCUUAUGCGUUGCCUUGAUGCUGAGACUGAGUGGCUGGCCCUUUGCCUCUGGGUAGCUGACCUCGGUGUAGCUUUAAGGCACCCUGGACUGCAAGGGGCGCCCAGCCUGUAACUCCACCAUGCGUCAAACCUACUUUUUGGUUCAUCCCCAGAUUUUUAGGCUUUGUUACUGUACUGAUACCUCAAAUUCAAAACUUUAAUUUUUGAGAAAGGCAACAGUCGGCGUUCUCGGGCAGCCUGACUGGUAUAUAUGCAACUCUGGCCUCCAGUCUUCCACCCCCACAGGAAAACUGCCUGGGCCACCAGACCCGAAGCUGGUGAGGACGUCCAGAGCCAGCGUGGGGCCAGCUCGUCAGUGUUUCACGCAGGAAAAACCACUUUCCUUUCUCCUGACUUUCUCACCCCAGAUAUGACCCUGGUGGCGCAGGGCUGCUUUGUUUGGGGUUUGGCCUCAGAGUGGUGUUGGGAAAAGCAAGCACGAAGGAGACACUUGAUCAAGUCUGUUUCUCUGCCGUGUCAUCUGUGAGGGGAUGUCACUGAGUCACUGAGGGGGUGUCACCGAGGCUGCACACAGGAGCUGUGCAGAACACGUGGUGUUCUUAGAGUCCGUGUAACGUGCCAUCCUUCCAAGUGUUACGUGAAGCCGUCUAAUUCUUGUGACAGUAUUAAUAUGGUGGGCACAAAGCCAUCGUGCCCACCUAGCCCCAGGCAAGCCUGUUCCAGGAAGCCUGCCAGGCCGGGGCUGCCUGCAGGCGGCUGGAGACGGGACGGCCGUUUCAUCUCGAGUGGGCAGGCCUGGUUUUCCUGCCUGAACUUGAGCCUGCUCAGUCACGUUCAUCCUCCAGUGUCUACACUUUGUGCUUGAAUCAUUAGCUCCAGCUCUGGCCAAAGACAAAGCUUCCUCCAGAGACAAAAGGAGCAGGAGGCAGUGAAGAGGAGCGCCCCGUGGGGCCUGCAGCGUCCACAGCCUCGCCAGGCUCUCUCGCCAGGCCCCAGACAAGCACCGAUGUCUUCAGGGUCAGAUACUGGUGGAUCCGGCAACCUGCUCCCCAACUCUAAGCGCCAGGACGUCUGCAGGCAGGCUGGCUCUGCAGCCUGGCCUGUCUGCUGGAGGAGGUGAACGUGGAUGAGAGCGAGGAAGUCAGGGGGAAGUGUCUGUAAGCAAAUGGGAAACCAGCAGUAAAAAAUAAGACACAAAAUGUUUAAUUUGCUGCCAUUUAUAUACUAUAUAAAUUUUACAUGCUGUAUAUUUACAGUGGGGCAAGUGCUUUUUUAAUCUUUAAAAAAACAAAGAUCAAACUUUCGACAUCUCUGAACAACACAAACUGUAUAAACCAUACAGAUGAUUCAUAUAACAAACUGUAUUACAUACAGUUUUCCCCACUCCAUCUCCUGAUGCAGGACCAGUGAAUUAUAAGUGUAUCACAGUUUGAUAGCAUAUCCAUAUUAAAAAUAAAAUCACAGUAUGAAUUUGUCUGUAACUAGGAACUUUAAGGGACCAAGCUGAUGACUUAGACGCCUGUACCAUAUAGUCAAGACAAGAGACACUGUAUCAAAAAGGGUUAGGUAAUAAAAACAUACUGUAGGCUUUACAAAUAAUGUUUGGAUUAUUACAUUCAUAAUGUAAAUACUCAUCAUAACUGGUAAAUUGAUUGGAAUAGUUCCACGAAGUUCAAAAACAGAACUUGUCUAUAAAAUACAUCUUCAAAUCUUGAAUACAACUAAAAUAUGAAGCAAAUUAGUUUCUAGUAUCAGACAUUACAGAAAACAGACUGCUCUCAAAAGUGUAGUUGAGAGCUGUGAAUCUUUAAAUAAGUCUUUAAAUUAAAUACACACACUGUCAGUUGUUUGAUAAUUCCAUGGUUUCCCGGUUGGUCUUGCACCAGAUGUCUAACUGGAGGGACACUACAUGAAAUACAAGUAAUCAACCUGAGUCUGUAAGGAAGCAGCAUUUGAGAUGUUCUAUUCCAGGGCAUUAUUUUCAAUGUGAUUUAUAUACACGGUAUUUUACAGUGGUCAGCAGUUGUAGAAAGUGUUCAUCCAUUUGGAAUAAGGGCAAUUAAGAAAAGGUAAAAACUAAAAAAAAAGUUCUCCAUGGUAAAAUCUGUACAGUAUUUACUAAAGAAGCACCACGCAGAUUUGAACAAAGUUAUUUUCUAUAUUUAUAAUUUAAGCUGGGUUGGGGAUGGCUUCUGUUGAACACGUUGGAUCUGAAAGACAAGAGGCAGCAGACAUCAGUGAUUCCCGAGGCAGGAGGGGGCCUCCCCUUUCACCACACCAAUGACUUACCCACAGCCUCCCCGCUGGCAGCUUCCCCAAGGUCUUUGGGGAGGCUCUCCCUCCUUAAGAUGGCAACUCUGCCUGCCUGAGACUUAAGGAGCAAGGGGGCCAGCUGAUCCACCUCAACCCGCCACUGCCGCUAGGGCUCAGGUUUCUUUAAUUAGGCUUAGUUAGGUCUCUUCCUUGAGAAAGCCUGUGAAUUAAAUGCAAACUAAUCUUCAGGAGAAAACUCAAUUUAAAACUCAUUUAAAUCCCCAUCACUAAGCAAAAGACACAUUUGGACAAAAUUUCUCUGAGGGGCAAAAUGACUCACUGUCCCCUUUACCUCAGCAUGUACAGGGUACAAACACCAGUGGCCAUCUCCCCCAGCCACUGAGUAAAACCCCAGGUUAAAUUACUUCAACACCUUGACACUCAGGGUCAGAGUUUCCGUCUGCUAUGAUAAUUUUUUUUUUUUUUAUGAGGCACCCACACCACAAGUCAAAUAAAACAAAGUCAUUUCCUCCUGAAAAGGGUGUGUCGCAACAGGCCUCCGAAUGACUGCUAAGUCUGGCGUGUGGGGUCAGUGUCCCCGGCUUGGGCGCUGGGUCAGGUAGCCUAAUGUGAAUGGCGCUAACCCCUCAGUUCCCAGACCAGGUAUCCCAGAAGCACAGGGAAUAGGGAAAGAAGGAACGGAGACACCCAAGCUCCUCCCUUGGGGCAGCCGAUUAGGCAGGCCUGGGUGGGGAAACAGGAUUUUCCAUUUAUCAAAUGACCGUCCCAUUGACUUCUGAUGCUGUGAACUUUGCCAGCGUUUUUUUCAAUGAAGGAGACAGAAAAACAGAGUGACUAAGUCUAAGGGACAUAAAUCUUCCCUGACAACGUUGGGAAAGUUUGAGGAAAAGAGGGCUAACUCCUCCAGGUGUCUGGACUUCACAUAAAAAGCAUUUGCAGAUAGCGCAGAGCUUGUUGGGAAACAGCUAAGGGAGCAAGUUCCCCAGAUGCACCUACCCCAUCUACGGCAGACACCUGGUGUCCUAUCACCCAGCUACCAGGGGUGGGGCCGAGACCAGGAAGGCACUCCCUGACAUUUUCUUCAAAGUUAACACUCCCUCCUCUGUGUCCCUCACCGGCUCUGUCAGCAAUUAUGAAACGAAAUAUGAAAACAUCCUAUCAUAACUAGUGAAUAGAACACAAUAUGAAAACAGCUUACCAUAACUAGUAAAUUGAGGCCGAGCAUUCAAUCACCUAGAAAGCAAAGGGUGGGAAACAUUUUAAUGAGGGUUCUGCACAGUGUUUAGUGCCUCUGCUCUGCAGGUGCCUUAAACGGUUACAAUUAGCACCCUAUCCUCUGAAGCCUCCUUUUGUCACCUGAAAUCAGGCCUCUAGGAGGACAGGCACGGGUGUGUCAGGAGCUACUUCUCCAAGUGCUCUGCUGAAAGCGAGAGACAGUUCAUGUGGUAUUGAGGGGCCCCACGGGCGGGCUCCAUCCACAGCCCCAUCAGACAGACCACCUCUCACGACAGAAGCAUCUUAGGCUGAGCGGAACCAGAAACCAUGAGUCAAAUGAGAAAGGCCAAAUGGGCAAAGUGCAGGACGGGGAACUUGAGACUCGUGGAAGAUGGUCAGAAAGGGGUGUUCAUCCCCUGUCCAAUGUCAAGAGUCCCCUCUGGGGAGGAUGGACAGGACAGCCCUCGGGCCCCCACCCUGGCUGCCAACCAGGCAGGCCUCAGGUACAACUGGACCAGGGACAGGGCAUAGGGUCACAGCUCAGACAAAGCCUUCUGCAGCCCUGACACCCUUGUCUGGGCUACAAAUGUGAGGAAGCCCAGGACUGGCACUCAGCUCCUUUCCUCAGAGCCUCUGCCUCCUGGCAGCCCCUGGCCGCAUCCUUACAGAUGACCGGACAACUAUGCAGCGGCCCUCCAGGCCCUGGCCAGCACCCAGGACAAGCCCAUCUCACACUUAAUCCUGACACGCCAGCACCAUCAGAAGGGAAUCCAUCCUCACACCCCCUGCAGCCCAGUCACCAACAUGUUCAUGUGAAACCAGCUUUAAAAUGUGUAUAAUUUCUUAAAACACAGGCAAGUUAAACAACAAAAACACAAACAACCCAAUCGAAAAAUGGGCAGAGGACCUGAAUAGACAUUUCACCAAAGAGGACGUUCAAACAGCCAACAAGCACGUGAAAAGAUGCUCAACGUCCUUAAAAAAAAUUAGGAAAACGCAAACCAAAACCACAUGAUUAUUAUUAAAAAAAUAAAAACAAAAAAAGGGUAAAUAAGUGUUGGUGAGGAUGUGGAGAAACUGGAACUCCCAUCCAUUGCUGGUGGUAAUGUAAAACAGGGCAGCUGCUGGGCAAAAGUUUGGCAGUUCCUCAAAAAAGUUGAACACAGAACUACCAUACGACCCAGCAAAUUCCACUCCUAGGUAUAUAUGCACCCAAAGAACUGAAAGCAGGGACUCACGAUACAUGUUCACUGCAGCACUAUUCACAACGCUGAAAGGUGGGAACAAGUUAAAUAUCCAUCACCGCCUGAGUGGAGAAAGAAAUUGCGGUACAUACAUACAACGGACUACUCAGCCAGAGAGAAAUGAAGCCCUGAUGCAUGCCACUACAUGCAUGAACCUUGAACAUCAUGCUGAAUGACAUAAAUCAGUUGCAAAAGAACAAAUAUUAUAUGAUCUUGCUUAUGUCAGAUAAGCAAACAUACAGAAACCAAAGCUUAUUAGUAGCUACUAAGCGUGGGGUGGGGGGGGAAGGGAAAUUUUUGUUUAGGAGGCAGUGAGUUUACGUUAAUGGUGGGGGAACAAUUUGGAAAGGAUAGGGAGAAUGGUUACACAACUUGAAGAAUGUAAUCAAUGUCACUGAGUCGUACAUGUAGAAGUUUUCAGACGGUGUAGCUUUUCCUAUGUACAGGUAGUCCCUGACUUAACGAUGUACUGGAGUUAAAAUGAACCUCAUUCACAACCGUGUUUUUUCUGUACAUUUUAUCAUAAUAUGUACUACAUACAAUGUUGAAUGUGUAAUUUGCUGAUAUCAUUCUCAGAUGUUCAAUGUUACAAUUUUUAAAGAUAUUGAUAAUAAAACGCAAUAAUGAAAACAAAAAAUGAGGUAUUUGACUUACAUCAGAGCCAACUUACAACAGAGUCACUGGAAUGGAACCCCGUCACGAAGUGGGGACUACCUAUAUGUUUUCACCACGAUAAACACGCACACACAGAGCAAAUACCACUCGAACCUUCACUUCAUGUGGGCAAUGGCAAUUUUUCAUCUGCUACUUGCUGUUCACAAACUUCUAACACUAAGAGGCUGUAAUCGUCCUCCCAAGAGAAGUUUUCUGGCUCUCUGCACACCAACAUUUUGUGGGGCCCGUGUGCCUCCCUUAAUCAACAGUCGAACACGGACUGUGGGCCAGUGGAAGGGCCAAGUGGUACCUCCUCUUCCAUGUCUCCCCCGUGACACAUCAACACCACCAUCAGCCCGGGACACUGUCAGGAACCAAGAAGCCCAAAAGGGCUCUGAGCAACUGAGAUGGUGCAUCAGCUCCUGCGAUAAUAGCGCGCGCUGUAUCUGUGAACCACGGGGGCUGGGGCAGGGGUCGCAAACUGCUUCUGUAAAGGGGCAGAUGGUAACCACCACAGGCUUUGCAGGCCAUGGGAUCUGUCACAACUCCGCAACUGGGCCGCUAUAACACCAAAGCAGUCACAGCCAAUAGGUAAAUCAACUGAGUGUGGCUGUGCUCCAGUAGAACUUUUUCAUGGACACUUAAAUUUGAAUUUCAUGUGAAAUGAAUUAUUCUCGUUUCGAUUUUUUCCAACCAUUUAAAAACAUUACAGCCAACAACAAAAAGACAACCCAAUCAAAAAAUGAGCAAAGGACUUGAACAGACAUUUCACCAAAGAGGAUAUUCAAAUAGCCAAUAAGCAGAUGAAAAGAUGUUCAGCGUCAUUACCCGUUUAAAAAAAACGAAAACAAACCCAUUGAUGCUGAGUCAAUUCCAACUCAGAGCAACCCAAAAGGAAAGCACAGAACUGCCCCAUAGGGUGUCCAAGGAGAAGCUGGUGGGUUCCAACUGCCCACCUUUUGAUGAGUAGCCUGAGCACUUAACCACUGCACCAUCAGGGCUCCAAUUAGCUAUUAAGCAAGCCAAACCAAAUCUACUGCCAUCAAGUUGAUUCCAACUCCUAGCAACUCCCUACAGAACAGAGUAAAACUGCCCCAUAGAGUUUCCAAGGAGUGCCCCGUGGAUUCAAACUGCUGACAUCUUGGGUUAGCACCCAUAGUGCUUAAUCACUAUGCCACCAGGGUUUCCUUAGCUAUUAAAGCCAAAAAAAAAAAAAAACCCACUGCCGCCAAUUCGAUUCUGACUCAUAGCAACCCUAUAGGACAGAGUAGAACUGCCCGAGUUUCCCAGGAGCGCCUGGCAGAAUCGAACUGCCGACCCUUUGGUCAGCAAUCGUAGCACUUAACUACUAUGCCACCAAGGUGUCCAGUCCUUAGCCAUUAAAAAAAAAAAAAAUAGC